UUGGCUUUACCCGAAGGUGGUGCGCUAACCCGCAAGGGAGGCAGCCAACCUCGGUAGGGUCAGCGACUGGGGUGAAGUCGUAACAAGGUAGCCGUAGGUGAACCUGCAGAAGGAUCA
rnacentral:rRNA from 1 species